rnacentral:rRNA from 1 species
AUUGAACGCUGGCGGCAUGCCUUACACAUGCAAGUCGAACGGCAGCGCGGGAGCAAUCCUGGCGGCGAGUGGCGAACGGGUGAGUAAUACAUCGGAACGUGCCCAAUCGUGGGGGAUAACGCAGCGAAAGCUGUGCUAAUACCGCAUACGAUCUACGGAUGAAAGCCGGGGAUCGCAAGACCUUGCGCGAAUGGAGCGGCCGAUGGCAGAUUAGGUAGUUUGUUAGGUAAAGGCUCACCAAGCCUUCGAUCUGUAGCUGGUCUGAGAGGACGACCAGCCACACUGGGACUGAGACACGGCCCAGACUCCUACGGGAGGCAGCAGUGGGGAAUUUUGGACAAUGGGCGAAAGCCUGAUCCAGCCAUGCCGCGUGCAGGAUGAAGGCCUUCGGGUUGUAAACUGCUUUUGUACGGAACGAAACGGUCUUUUCUAAUAAAGAAGGCUAAUGACGGUACCGUAAGAAUAAGCACCGGCUAACUACGUG